UGCAGAUGAUGUUUAUCUCACGAUGGUCUUCCAAGCCUCCGUGGUUUUGACGACACUGCCUCAGGGCAACACUGAUGCAGACCG